CGCGGGGUGGAGCAGCCUGGUAGCUCGUCGGGCUCAUAACCCGAAGGUCGUCGUUUCAAAUCCGGCCCCCGCAACCA
rnacentral:tRNA from 3 species